rnacentral:rRNA from 1 species
UACGUAGGUCCCGAGCGUUGUCCGGAUUUAUUGGGCGUAAAGCGAGCGCAGGCGGUUAGAUAAGUCUGAAGUUAAAGGCUGUGGCUUAACCAUAGUACGCUUUGGAAACUGUUUAACUUGAGUGCAAGAGGGGAGAGUGGAAGUCCAUGUGUAGCGGUGAAAUGCGUAGAUAUAUGGAGGAACACCGGUGGCGAAAGCGGCUCUCUGGAUUGUAACUGACGCUGAGGCUCGAAAGCGUGGGGAGCAAACAGG